rnacentral:rRNA from 1 species
CUACGGGUCGCUGCAGUCGCGAAACCUUUACAAUGCACGAAAGUGUGAUAGGGGGAUUUCGAGUGCUAGCUUUGCUAGCUUUUGCCAAACCUAAAUAGUUUGGCGAAUAGGUGGGGGGCAAGAUACGUGCCAGCCGCCGCGGUAACACGUACUCCGCAAGUGGUAUCCACUAAUAUUGGGCCUAAACGUCUGUAGCCGGUUUAAUAAGUCUUUGGUGAAAUCAUUGGGCUUAACUCAAUGAAUUGCCAAAGAUACUGUUAGACUCGAGGCCGGGAGACGCCAAGGGAAUUUCCGGGGUAACGGUGAAAUGUUAUGAUCCCGGAAAGACCACCAGUAGCGAAGGCGCUUGGCGAGAACGGACCUGACGGUGAGAGACGAAAGCUGGGGGAGCGACCCGGAUUAGAUACCCUAGUAGUC